rnacentral:rRNA from 1 species
GGGCGGCAAGGGGGGAGCAANUCCUUCUUAGAGCGGCGGAUGGUGAGUAAACGCGUGGGUGACUACCUUGCGGUUGGGGAUAGCCAUUAGAAAUAGUGGGUAAUACCGAAUGAGGUUGGGGGGCUGUGGUUCUCCAAAGAAGGGAGCUUUGGCUCCGCCGAAAGAUGGGCCCGCGUCCCAUUAGCUAGUUGGAGAGGUAAGAGCUUACCAAGGCGAAGAUGGGUAGCCGGCCUGAGAGGGUGAACGGCCACACUGGGACUGAGAUACGGCCCAGACUCCUACGGGAGGCAGCAGCUAAGAAUAUUCCGCAAUGGACGAAAGUCUGACGGAGCGACGCCGCGUGGAUGAAGAAGGCCGUGAGGUUGUAAAGUCCUUUUGUCACUGAAGAAUAAGGUGGGCAGGGAAUGGCCUAUUGAUGACGUUAGGUGACGAAUAAG